CACGUAGGGUGCAAGCGUUGUCCGGAAUUAUUGGGCGUAAAGAGCGUGUAGGCGGCCAUACAGGUCCGUUGUGAAAACUCGAGGCUUAACCUCGAGACGUCGAUGGAAACCGUAUGGCUAGAGUCCGGAAGAGGAGACUGGAAUUUACGGUGUAGCGGUGAAAUGCGUAGAUAUCGUAAGGAAGACCAGUGGCGAAGGCGGGUCUCUGGACAGUUCCUGACGCUGAGGCACGAAGGUCAGGGGAGCAAACGGG
rnacentral:rRNA from 1 species